rnacentral:rRNA from 1 species
UACGUAGGGCGCAAGCGUUAUCCGGAAUUAUUGGGCGUAAAGAGCUCGUAGGCGGCUCGUCGCGUCGACCGUGAAAACCCGCAGCUUAACUGCGGGCUUGCGGUUGAUACGGGCGGGCUAGAGUUCGGUAGGGGAGACUGGAAUUCCUGGUGUAGCGGUGAAAUGCGCAGAUAUCAGGAGGAACACCGGUGGCGAAGGCGGGUCUCUGGGCCGAUACUGACGCUGAGGAGCGAAAGCCAGGGGAGCAAACGGG